CCUCUACGCCCCUCCACCAGCCCCCAACCCCGGGCUCCAGGCCUGAAAUAGAGCGGAAUCCUGCGUUAUUGUUAGUGCGCGUGGAACUUUCCCUCCCCCCUUCUCCCGGCGUUCCCGGUGGAAACCCGCCCAUGUGCAAGAUGCGGGAGGACCUCGAGCUUUGUUCUUUUUGUUUCUGGAAUCCUCUAAAGUAGUUUUUCUUCGCCUAUUUUCACUUUCCUGCCUCAUGCCCUCCUCCCUUCCUUUCCACCCCCUAGGCUGGGGAGAGCGAUCCGCUGGGAAUGGUCCUCCCUUAUCCACUGGUGCCCAUGUCCCAAGAGCCAAAGGAGAAAACAGCACUAGGAAAAUUAGUUAGAAUUUCCAGGGCUCCGACUAACAGCAGAGGUGUGUGUGUCUCUCUGGGAAACUGUGGAGCUGUGAUCUGUAUCCUUUGGGUGGAUUUAAAGAUAAUUAUACCCGACAUUUGAUUGUAGUCAUUUAGCCCGGAAGCAUUUAUAUUAAGUGCCUACUAGGUGGCAAGCCCUGCUCAGGGAUGAGCACGUAGGGGAAAAAAGUCUCAAGGAGCUCAGAAUUAAACGGAGAAAACAAAUUUGUACAAACAAUUUAUGUAGAAGAUAACAGAGGGAAGGCUGGGGCUUGGGAAAGGUUUCCUAUAGGAAAUGGGGUUUUAUUUAGGAUUUGAAGGAAACUGAUGUAAUACCAGAGAAACUGAGGUGAGAAGAGAUUUUUUAAAUCUUUAAUGUGGAGAGUUUAAGAGACUGAAAUGGGAAUAUACUUCUAGAACAUUCGGUCCAGGGCAGCUGAGGCACACCAUUUAUAUAAGGUUUUUUAGCCAGCAAAAUACAGAAGUGAGAAUGCAAUUAGUCUUUGCAAUUGUUAUCUUUACUUAAGAGGAGGAGUUAACUUGGUAUUUACAGCUUGGAGAUUGUGGCUCAGACCCUGCCAGACAGGGGAGUAGGACCAUUCUUGGAUUGAUAGGGGCUAUAACGAAUGCAGGAUUCGAGACUGUCCUUGACAAUAAUACUAUUCCCAGGGUAAUUUUUGGACAGGGAUGAAGUCAGAAAGGCAAGCAUAGGGAGACUUUUUCUUUUUUAUCCUUCAUUGUGUCGCAAUGGUGUGUGAUAGGGAGUUGGAGCUUCAAGGUUUAUAGUUUUCUUUUUAAACUCAAUUUUCCAAGUUUAAUUGCACAAAUGAGGGGAGUCGGGGUUAACAGGCCAUAGGAAGGGGGAUAUUGCGGACUAUCCAGGGUCUAACACCAAGAGGCAAAACAGUACCUGGGGCCUGGAAGAUGGGAACCAGCAACAAGGAUCACUUAAGGGAAGGGUGGCCAGGUGUAAGGUGUUGGAAGAUUGGAAAGGGAAGGAAGAAUUAUGAUAUAAAGGACUUGAUCAGAACAUUCUGUACCUGAUUGUGGAAGUUAUUGCCUCUGGAGUUUAGUGAGUAGGAGGCAAUAUGGUAGCCUGUAGGAAUCUUGUAGGUAAUUCUGUUUUAGAAAAAUCACUUUGGCAGCUGAUUGGAGUGGAGAAGGUCUGAGACAAGUAGACCCACCAGUAAGCAUGAGCAGAUGCAUCAGAGUGGUGAUGUCAGAGAAGGGCACAUGUUUGAGAGAUAUUGCAAAGAUCAAAUGCAUAGGCAACAGAUUAGAUAUGGAGAGUGAAGCUGGAGAAGAGUUGAGAAUGAUCUGUAAGUUGCUAAUGUGGGGGGCCCGGAGGGUAAUGCUGCCCUUGCCAGUAAUAAGUAUUUGGACAAGGAGAGAAAGGGUUUGAGGGGAAGAUAAGUGAGUUUAGUUCUGAGCAUGUUGAGUUUAAGAUGUCUUUGAGAUAUCUUGUUUGAGAUGGCCAAUUGGCAGGUGGAGAUGCAAGAUUGGAGGGCAACAGAGAGAUUAGGGCUAGAUAAGUAGAUUUGAAAGACAUCUGCUCAGAAAUGAUAACUUAAUCCAUGGGAACUGGUGAGAUUACUAAGUGAGGUAGUAUAGAGGGUGAAGACCUAAUUUAGGGAGCUGUGGGACACUUAUGGUUAGAAGUUAUUCUCUAGAUGAGGAUCCAGCAAAGGAGAUUAAGAAGGAUCACUCUAAGAAAUAGUAGAACCAGGAGUGAUGUCUCCAGAAGCUAAAGAAGGGAAAGAAGAUAUGUUCCAUAGUGUCAAAGAAUGCAGAGAGAUCUAGAAGAAUGAGGAUUGAGAAAGAUCAUUGGAUUUGGCAAUUAAGAAAUCAUUAGUAAUUAGUGGAGUGAUGAGGUAAGAAACCAGACUGUAAGGGGUCAACAAGACAGUGAGAGGAGUGGAAAAUAAGGCACCUAUUGUAGCAAGCCUUCUCAAGGAGUUUAGCCACAAAGGGCAGAACAAAUAUAGGACGAUUGUAAAAAUGGAGGAAUCAAGUAAGGAUUUUUUUUUUUUUUUUUUAGAAUGGGGAAGACAUGGACACAUUUGUAAGCAGUAAGGAAGGAGCCAGUAGACAGGAAGAGUUUGAAGAUAAGUAAUGUAGAGGAAUGACAGAGGCAGCAAGAUAGAAUAGGAUCCUUUGUGCAAGUAGAAGAAUGAGUCACUUCUAUAUGUGAAAUGGGUGGAGGAAAUAGUUGCAGUAAGCAUUUGAGUAAUGAGGAAGAAAGAUGUCAUAGUGAUUUGACUUUUUCUUUUUUUUUUAAUAUGAGGCAAAGUUCUUAGCUGAGAAGGUGGGGAGAGGGAGAACCAUGGAAAGUUUGAGAAGGAAUGAAAAGUCUGGGAAGAGCCAACGUGGAGAGUUAAUCAAUAAAGAAGAUAUAGUGAAAUUGCUUAGCAAAAAUGAAGGCCCUAUGAGGUUGUGUAACAUAAACUUGUAAUGAACCCAGUCAGAAUGGUUGUGUAAUUUUCUUCACUUUCAUUCAGCAGCUGGUAUGUAGGAAUGAAGGAAGUAAUCCAAGGCUGAAAUUUAGCUAGAUAAUUUAGUGAUAGAAAGGUGCCAGGGACUCAAGAAAGUGGAUGCUGUAGAGUUUUGUUUUUUUUUUAAUUUAAUAAUAACUUUAUAUUGACAGAAUCCAUGGCAGGGUAAUUUUUUUACAUUAUCCCUUGCACUCGCUUCUGUUCCGAUUUUUCCCCUCCCUCCCUCCACCCCCUCCCCUAGAUGGCAAGCAGUCCUAUAUAUGUUAGAUAUGUUGCAGUAUAUCCUAGAUACAAUAUAUGUUUGCAGAACCGAGCAGUUCUCUUGUUGCACAGGGAAAAUUGGAUUCAGAAGGUAAAAAUAACUCGGGAAGAAAAUCAAAAAUGCAAAUAGUUCAUAUUCGUUUCCCAGUGUUCUUUCUUUGGGUGUAGCUGCUUCUGUCCAUCAUUUAUCCUUUGAAACUCAGUUAGGUCUCUUUGUCAAAGAAAUCCACUUCCAUCAGAAUACAUCCUCAUACAAUAUCGUUGUCAAAGUGUAUAAUGAUCUCCUGGUUCUGCUCAUUUCACUUAGAUGCUGUAGAGUUGAUCUGGUUCACCAACCAGUAAAGGUAGGGAAAAGGAGAGAGUGACUAGUGUAGGGGUGAGAACCUGGAAGAAAACAAAGUGGUUGAGGAUUUGGAGGUCAAAUGAUUAGGUAGAUCCAGCCUAAUUGUCUCCCUUGAUUCUCAUAUCUACCCUGUGAGGUAUUACUGGUUUUUUUAUCCUCAUUUAUCCUCAGGGUAACAUUCUAAUGGUGUAACAGUGCUUCUGCUUAAUAGUUUUACAGUGAUGUGGCUUUGGCCUAUGCAUCUUAUCUCAUUUGUUCCUGCUGGACAAGUAUGGCAGACACUCUACCUCCUGUUUUACAGAUGAGGAAGAGAGACAGUGCGACAUAUUGGAAAGAGAUCUGAUUUAUAUUAGAAGUGUGAUCAUGGGCAAGUCACUCAGCCUGUGUUGGCUGAUUUUUGUGACAUUUGCA